GCCCCGGUAGCUCAGUGGAUAGAGCGUUUGCCUCCGGAGCAAAAGGUCGUGGGUUCGAAUCCCGUCCGGGGCAC
rnacentral:tRNA from 1 species